GGCGGCAUGGCCAAGUGGUAAGGCAGAGGAUUGCAAAUCCUCCAUCCCCGGUUCGAACCCGGGUGCCGCCUUAC
rnacentral:tRNA from 1 species